GUCUACGGCCAUACCACGUUGAUAGCACCAGUUCUCGUCCGAUCACUGAAGUUAAGCAACGUCGGGCUCGGUUAGUACUUGGAUGGGUGACCGCCUGGGAACACCGAGUGCUGUAGACU
rnacentral:rRNA from 1 species